CGGGGUUUUUGAGUUGCAAUUGAAUUUAAAAGAUAUUCUUUGAUAUCGGUAUUCACUAGCAUGGGGUGCUAGUGGUCGAAGGUUCAAAUCCUUCCGUCCCGACCA
rnacentral:tRNA from 1 species